AAGAAGCCGGGCUCCAAGAACUUCCAGA
rnacentral:piRNA from 1 species